rnacentral:rRNA from 1 species
AUUGAACGCUGGCGGCAUGCCUUACACAUGCAAGUCGAACGGUAGAGUAGCAAUACUCGAGAGUGGCGAACGGGUGAGUAAUAUAUCGGAACGUGCCCAGUCGUGGGGGAUAACGUAGAGAAUUUACGCUAAUACCGCAUACGAUCUAAGGAUGAAAGCGGGGAGUCGCAAGACCUCGCGCGAUUGGAGCGGCUGAUAUCAGAUUAGGUUGUUGGUGAGGUAAAGCUCACCAAGCCGACGAUCUGUAGCUGGUUUGAGAGAACGACCAGCCACACUGGGACUGAGACACGGCCCAGACUCCUACGGGAGGCAGCAGUGGGGAAUUUUGGACAAUGGGCGAAGCCUGAUCCAGCAAUGCCGCGUGCAGGAAGAA